rnacentral:rRNA from 1 species
CUCGUGUCGUGAGAUGUUCGGUUAAGUCCGCUAACGAGCGCAACCCUCGUCGUAUGUUAUAUGUGUCAUACGAGACUGCCGGUAAAAGCCGGAGGAAGGUGAGGAUGAUGUCAAGUCAGCAUGACCUUUAUAUCCAGGGCUACACACACGCUACAAUGGUCUGUACAAUGGGUAGCCAAGCCGCGAGGCGGAGCCAAUCCUGAAAGCAGGCCUCAGUUCAGAUUGCAGUCUGCAACUCGACUGCAUGAAGCCGGAGUUGCUAGUAACCGCAGGUCAGCAAUACUGCGGUGAAUACGUUCCCGGGUCUU